UAUGCUCGGCCCAAGGAGUUAUUAGAAGGUGUGGCCUUGUUGGAGUAGGUGUCACUGUGGGUGUGGACUUUAAGAGCCUCAUCCUAGCUGCCUGGAAGCCAGUAUUCUGCUAGCAGCCUUCAGGUGAAGAUGUAGAACUCUCAGCUCCUCCUGCACCAUGCCUGCCUGGAUGCUGCCAUGUUCCUGCCUUGAUGAUAAUGGACUGGACCUCUGAACCUGUCCCAGUCUGGACACCUUAACCCUUGGGAUCAGUCUUCACUGCUCAGUGAAGCCUUUCUGGAAAUGCCAUCAAAGGCCAUGCAGAGGCGUCUCUGAAGUGAGUCUUAAUCCAGUCAAGUUUACGAUGAAGAUUGGCGUUCGUGCAUAGUGGAAGGGAACUUCUUUUUUAAGAUUUAUUUAUUUUAAUUUAUGUGAAUACACUGUAGCUGUCUUCAGACACACCAGAAGAGGGCAUCAGAUCCCAUUACAGAUGGUUGUGAGCCACCAUGUGGUUCCUGGGAAUUGACCGCUGAGCCAUCUCUCCAUCUCCUUUUACCACAUGUACAGUGAGUUAUUUGGUGGAGAAUAGGCCCUUCUUAAGAGACAGAUUAAAGUGUAGCCUUUUAUAUAUACUAACUUACUGUGUGUCCUAGUAUCUGGGGCAUUUGCAAACUAUGCAGUUAAAACACCACAGGCUGAACCCAGGCAGGGGAGAUGCUGUCUGCCAACCACUGAUACAGGGCUAUUGUGCAGGCUGUGGGGAUGGCAGUCCUGCCUCGAAGCUAUUUCUGCCUUUUCUAUUCCGUUUCAAUGACUUAUUUGUCUAUUCCCCUGCCAAGACCAUAUUGUUCUAAUUCACAGGCCUUUGGAGUAUUUUGGUAUCUGAGACUAUUUGGGUGUUUUCCUUUUCUUUUUCUUGGCUAUUCUCAUAUAUUUAUUCUCACGCUUGAACUUUAAGUCCUGCUUAUGUAGCUCUAAAGCGGUGCUUUCAUAUAGACAAUAGAGUUAUAGGAGUUUUGAAUGAUGUUGCAAAAAAGAUUUCUCUUUUACGAUAUAGCUUUCCAUUCUCCCCUAGCAAUAAAAAGUUUCAGCCGGGCAUAUAGCUCCUCAAAUAAAUUCUAAAAAUGUCAUUGCAGCUUCUGAGUCCUGCCUGAGGUAAACAAACCCACAGGAUUCUCACUGACCAGCUGCCCCUGCAGAACUGCAGCUACCCUGCCCUCAGCUCUUAGCUCUCGGUAGGGACCUACUCUGAAGACCUUUCUUCUGGGAGCCAAUCAAGGCCAAUGCCUGCCUGGCCCGUUUUUUUGUAUUGUUGUUGUUUCUGGGUUUGUUUUUGUCUUGAUGUGGAGUUGGGGGUGUUUGCAUGUAUCUUUGUACAUUCUUGUGGAAGUUGGAGGUUGAUGUCACAUAUCUUCCUCAAUCUGCUAACUGUGUGUUUUGAAGACAGGGUCUCUAGACCUGUCAUUCACUUUGUUUGGCCAAUAUGUCCCAUGGAUCCUCCGGUCUCUACCUUCCCACCACUGGGAUUAUGGGUGUGGUGGCACUGUUAUUUGAUCUCACAGUGACCCCUGAGAUUGUGUUACUUACUGGAAAAAAAAAAACUGUUUCUAGUCGGA